UACAGAGGGGGCGAGCGUUGUUCGGAAUUACUGGGCGUAAAGGGCGCGUAGGCGGCCUACUAAGUCAGACGUGAAAUCCCUCGGCUCAACCGGGGAACUGCGUCUGAUACUGGUGGGCUUGAAUCCGGGAGAGGGAUGCGGAAUUCCAGGUGUAGCGGUGAAAUGCGUAGAUAUCUGGAGGAACACCGGUGGCGAAGGCGGCAUCCUGGACCGGUAUUGACGCUGAGGCGCGAAAGCCAGGGGAGCAAACGGG
rnacentral:rRNA from 1 species